AGCUCCAAUAGCGUAUAUUAAAGUUGCUGCGGUUAAAAAGCUCGUAGUUGGAGUUCUGCCGAAGUUGAGCGGUCCGCUUUAUGAGCGUGUAUCAGUCUCUGAUUCGGUAUCUCUGCAAACUUCGCAAAUGCGCUUGAUUGCGCGUUGGAAACUUUGCAGCAUUUACUUUGAGGAAAAUAGAGUGCUCAUAGCAAGUCUUAGCUUUGCAUAUGCUAGCAUGGGAUAAUUAUAUAGAUCUACUAUUCUAUUUUUUGGUUUCUAGAAUUAUAGAGAUGGUUAAUAGAAUCAGCUGGGGGCAUUUGUAUUAACGCGUCAGAGGUGGAAUUCUUGGAUUGCGUUACGACAAACCACUGCGAAAGCAUUUGUCAAGGAUGUUUUCA
rnacentral:rRNA from 1 species